UGAUGACGUCACGGCUCCCACUCUCCUCUCUCUCCCUCUCACUAUAUAUCCAGGUGCGUCUUGGCGUGUCCACAGAGCCAGUUGAGAACUUUCUCUUGGAGGCGUCCGAGGUGGGUUAGUGUAGUGUUGCUGUGUGUGUUGGGAGGACGGGGUCGGGACGGCUACCUCGCAGUACUCCUCUACCUCUGCUACUUGGGACCACUCUCGCUUUUGUUUUAGAAAGUAAAGAUGUGGAGGAGAGCGUGGUGGAUGUUGGCGUUGGUGGUGGCCAUGGCCACGGUGGCCAGAGCUGAGGACCAGGCCGCCAGUGACGAUGGCAACAGCUUAGAUGAUCCUUCAGAAGAUUUGGUUGAAGCUGCAGUAUCAGAAUCAACAGAACGAGGAACAACAGAAGCAGCAGCAACAGAACUGGAAGCAACAGAAGCAGCUGCAACAACAACAACAACAGCAGCAGAUUCAGCUGCUGCCGGCUUAUUUGGUCCACAACUACGUAAU